rnacentral:lncRNA from 1 species
CCUGGCCUCUGAAGACUUCUUAUCUGUCCUUUUGAUAAGAUUAAGGCAGGGCCCAGUUGAUCUGCAGAGCUGGAUGUGCCCUGAGGCCAAAACCUGAGAAGGGAGGGGGGCCAAGAGUAUUCUGGCUGCUACUAGGCUGCUUUCUCUGAGCUUCUCCUCCAGCUGCCUCCCUGACGCCUGUGUUGAAUGUCCUGAGCCUGGCACCGCUGUGACUGCAAGGGUCAAAAGGUAGCACUUCCUCGCAACUGCCUCUUGGAACCCCUAGCUCCCUUCAAGGCUCAACCGAAGGACCAGCUCCUACAAGAAAUCUUCCUUGAUUUCUCAAAAUGGAACCUAGAUCUGAGUCGUAUUCACUUGUGUCCACAAGGAAUACUCUGGAUGGAGGAGUAAGUCAAAGAAGCUUCCAAAAUGGAAUCUGGAAUAAUAAAGUGGAAGAAUUCCAUGGAGACUGGAACAACCUCCAGGAAGUGAUGCAGAGCGAAAGGAGCAGAACCAGGAGGGCAUCAUACAGAGACUGAUACACUGUGGUACAAUUGAAUGUAAUAGACUCCUUUACUAGCAGCAAU